rnacentral:lncRNA from 1 species
CUUCUUUCAGGCACUAGGCAAAGAAAAUAAUUCUUUUUUUUGCAGAAAUUCUUUGCCGAGUGUAUUUUCUCUUGCACUAGGCAAAGCCUAUAUCUUUGCCGAGUGUCUUUGCUCUUGCACUAGGCAAAGUCUACAUCUUUGCCGAGUGUCUUUGCUCCUGCACUAGGCAAAGCCUACAUCUUUACCGAGUUUCUUGGUUGCUGCACUCGGCAAAGCAACUUUCCAGAUCCAUUUUUCUUUAUUUUUUGCAUUCCAAUGAAUCAAAAUAAUUUGUACAUCACACAUAUAUAACAGAUAUCACAGAUAUCACACAUAUAUCACAUAUAUCACAUUUAUCACACAUCACAUAUAAGCAAAAGUGCAAUAAUAAGUGUAUCACCAAGUGAACGAAACAAUCCAAGUGCAUCACCAAGUUAACCAAAUAUUCUAAGUCCAAGCACAAGUGAACCAGUAAUGUAAAUCUAAGUCUCCAAGUACAUAAACACCAACACAAUAAGCAUGAACCAUUCACUGCCAAGCUGGCCACCCCGGCUGAUGUGGUGGCUGUUCUCCAAUUACACGUCCCGGUAGGGAGAUUGUGUAUCCGGAGAACAUCAGGGGGAUGAUGCCAAAACUCUACCUCGGAUUAGAGCAGACUAUGGAAACUAACCCCAUCUACGCAUCCUCGAGCUGUCCAAAGAAACAUGGACAAUUCGAAACAGAUACGGUUAUAGAUAUGCAUAGAUAUGCAUAUUAAUAAUCGUAUCUCUUUCGAACGGGAAACACCUAGCUAGGUUACGUGAACUACAAACAUGAUACGAAGAGAGAGGUUUCACCUUAGGUGGUGGUGGAGUCAGGCUAGCGGGGCCGUGGUGGGUCGGUGCAGUGGUGAGGCGACGCGGUGCCGGUACACCCGCAGCAACAACCAAGAAAAUUUGCCAAUCUUUUACUUCGGAGAAGGCCAACUGAUCUAGCUUCUUCCUGCAAACUACAUAUUUCCCAAAAGGUCAGUGAGUGUUCGACCAUGACCAAGAAAAUUUGCAGUUGCGGGUAUAAAGCAAAUAAAAUCCAAUUUCAGUCUAUUGUCAGAAAUUGCACGAAUAACUACACCUACAAAUUAGAUAAUUUCUGAAUUGAAGAACCACAAACGUGCUAUUUUCAGAACUUCUAUUUUCUGAAAUUGAACAAAACUGCAAUCAUACAAUUUCAGUCUGCAGAAGCCACCAACGAUAAUAACCUAUCUUAAUCUGAACUUACAUAAUGCCGCAGGACCAUAUCACUACAAGCUACCUCAUUUUGAUUGAUAAAUCAAAGUCAGAACCAAAACAAGUAUGCAGCUGGCACUGGCACAGAUCGAUCCCCCUUUCUCUGAUGCAGUGCUGAGGCCGAUCCAGCAAGUAUGCAGCUCGUCCGCACUCGUUCCUCUUAGGAAUCGAUUUGGGCGGAUUAGGGAACAACAAAAUCGAUUUGGGGGGAGAGGAGUCUAGGCUCAAUCGAGAGAUCCGGGCAAACCUUAGCACUUGGUGAUUGGAUCGCUGCUCGCGGUAUUCACGCGGCCAACGAAGCGCGGCGUGCUGGGGACUGCUUGGAGACGCCGCUGGGCUGCUCGUCGAGGGAGCCGGGCUGCCGCCGGCGGGCGGGGGUGCGCCGUCGACCCGUGGUGGCGAGGCAGCGAGGCCGCGCGGCCAGGGGCGACACCGGUAGGCGGGCGCGAGGGAGCAGGCGCGCACGGUCGCGGGCGCCGCCCUGGGCUGGCUCGUCGAGGGAGCCGGGCUGCCGCCGGCAGG